UAAAGUCCCACACCUAAAACGCACAGCA
rnacentral:piRNA from 1 species